UCCAUCUGGGCGAAACCGUCGCCCUCGCUCUCAUCAGUAGCCAGGCCAUUUUCACGUACGGUGAGGUCGAUGGCGUGCAUGUCGUCCUCACCGGACCCGGUGUGUGUGCUUCCAAACUAAGUAAACGUGCAACCGCCCGCUGCUGUCCCUGUACCUGGCCAUCAUUUUCGACGGUUUGGAUGGCCUCAUCAGAUUCUCACUUUUAGGUAACCUGUAAUUUUGGUUGCACUUGUU
rnacentral:lncRNA from 1 species